rnacentral:rRNA from 1 species
AGCGAACGCUGGCGGCAGGCCUAACACAUGCAAGUCGAACGAAGUCUUCGGACUUAGUGGCGGACGGGUGAGUAACACGUGGGAACGUACCUUUUGGUUCGGAACAACUCAGGGAAACUUGAGCUAAUACCGGAUGAGCCCUUAGGGGGAAAGAUUUAUCGCCGAAAGAGCGGCCCGCGUUAGAUUAGCUAGUUGGUGAGGUAAAGGCUCACCAAGGCUACGAUCUAUAGCUGGUCUGAGAGGAUGAUCAGCCACACUGGGACUGAGACACGGCCCAGACUCCUACGGGAGGCAGCAGUGGGGAAUCUUGCGCAAUGGGCGAAAGCCUGACGCAGCCAUGCCGCGUGAAUGAUGAAGGUCUUAGGAUUGUAAAAUUCUUUUACCAGGAACGAUAAUGACGGUACCUGGAGAAAAAGCCCUGGCUAACUUCGCGCCAGCCGCCGCAGUAACAC